rnacentral:rRNA from 1 species
AUUGAACGCUGGCGGAAUGCUUUACACAUGCAAGUCGAGCGGCAGCGCGGGGCAACCUGGCGGCGAGCGGCGAACGGGUGAGUAACACAUCGGAACGUGCCCAGACGUGGGGGAUAGCCCGGCGAAAGCCGGAUUAAUACCGCAUACGAUCUAAGGAUGAAAGCGGGGGACUCGCAAGGGCCUCGCGCGUUUGGAGCGGCCGAUGGCAGAUUAGGUAGUUGGUGGGGUAAAGGCUUACCAAGCCUGCGAUCUGUAGCUGGUCUGAGAGGAUGAUCAGCCACACUGGGACUGAGACACGGCCCAGACUCCUACGGGAGGCAGCAGUGGGGAAUUUUGGACAAUGGGCGCAAGCCUGAUCCAGCCAUUCCGCGUGCAGGACGAAGGCCUUCGGUGUAAACUGCUUUUGUACGGACGAAAAGGUACUUCUCUAAUAACAGAGGGCCCAUGACGGUACCGUAAGAAUAAGACACCGGCGUAACUACGUGCCAGCAGCCGAC